rnacentral:rRNA from 1 species
CAGUCGCCGCGGGAAUACGUAGGUGGCAAGCGUUGUCCGGAAUUAUUGGGCGUAAAGGGCUCGCAGGCGGUUUCUUAAGUCUGAUGUGACAGCCCCCGGCUCAACCGGGGAGGGUCAUUGGAAACUGGGAAACUUGAGUGCAGAAGAGGAGAGUGGAAUUCCACGUGUAGCGGUGAAAUGCGUAGAGAUGUGGAGGAACAUCAGUGGCGAAGGCGACUCUCUGGUCUGUAACUGACGCUGAGGAGCGAAAGCGUGGGGAGCGAACAGGAUUAGAUACCCCUGUAGUCCCUGUCUCUUAUAC